CUGGGGUUUGGAGGAGGAGGACAGAGAGAGAUUGAUAUGGAGCUGCAGGAGGCACAGACCUGCUCAGUGCCUCCGGCUCCUGGGGCCAGAGUGGCUGUGAAGUGGCACCUUGGAGAGGUUCCAGCGAGCUAUGGCAUUGCCUUUUUAUGGACCGUCUGCAAGCUGGAUCUGUUACAGUUUUCAAGUCAACACUGAAAAGAACCUGAACCCGACCUGGGCUCGAAGAGCUACGUAGACUAGGGAGCUGGCGAGUUGAUUCCAGUCACACUGGAAUUCGGAUUCCCUCUUCAAAGAGCAGUCUGAGACCAGAUCUUCAGCUGGUAUAAAUUAGUGCAGCUUUAUUAAAGUCAAUGGAGAUAUAUGGGUUCUGGCCUGAGAUUUAGGUUUGAUAAUGCCUUCAGUGCUUCUCUGAAAUGGGGACAUAAUGAUGUUGGUGCUAACAAAUGUGUGUGUUGAUUUUAUUCUUGGAAAAAUUUGACUUUUAUUGGUAAAAGUCAGUAAACAUUGAUUUCACUGCACACACACACACCAAUGAAAAAAUAUUUUAACUGAUAAUAACAAAAACGAGCAGAUAAGCAAAGUAAAGAAAAUGCUGCUUGAAAACUUAUUGGGCAUAUUUCAUUUGUAAAUGGUG